UGUAGGGGCCAACGACCAGAAGAUCUUAUUAAGCCUCAAUUUUGCAAUCCGGAAAUUGCAGAACAAUUGAGGAAUUAUACGAUAAAAGAACAGUUAGAACAAGAGCCUGGUUGGCAGAAGAAAGAACAAGAUAAAAAAGAAGACAAGGAUUUAAAGAUUGUUCGAAUAUUGAACAGUGCAUUACGAGGAGACAUUCGUGUAAUAAGGGCUUACAACGCAGCAGGCUACGAUAUGACUGUUUCAGAUUAUGACAAAAGAACAGCACUGCAUAUAGCAGUGAAUAAUAACCAAGAACAUAUUGUGGAGUAUUUACUGAAAGAGUGUGGUCUGUCAGAGGAAGAUAAAAAAGCUAAGGACAGAUGGAAAAAAACACCGUUAGAGGCAGCCAAGGAGGGUGAAAACGAAAUUAUACUCAAAAUGUUUAAUUGUCCGAGUUUACCAAACACAGUUAAUGACGAAAAAAAAGAAUUUCGCUUAUUAAUUGCUGGUGAAGACGAUGACGUAGAAACACUUAAAAGGUUAUAUGAAAAUGGAGGGAGUAU